UUCUCGGCAAUAUAUCCUCAUAAGUUCGACAAGAAGAGGAACCAUGAAUUUUAAUUAAUUAAUAACUCCUAUUAAUUUAUUUAUAUGGUGGCACAAAAUCGGAAGCCCCGACUGUUUACUAAAAACACAACUAUCUGCAAUUAUGAAAAUAAUAGUAUAGGUAGUGAGAUUUGCCCAAUGCCAAAUUAAUAAGUAAUAAUAAUAGGUAACUGUUUCUUUACAAAAAAUUGGUUAAUAGCGGUCUUAACUAUGAGGAUCCUAAGGUAGCAAAAUAAAUUGGCCAUUAAAUGUGGUCCAGUAUCAAUAAUUUAACGAUGGCUUCACUGUCUCUACAACUUGCUCAGUGAAAUUGAAUUACCCGUGCAGAUGCGGGUACUCAUUCUCGUUUCCGG
rnacentral:rRNA from 1 species